GAGGCUCAUUUGGGACAGGGCUGGGGUGUUGGACAGGAGGCCCCGAGGGCUUGUGAGGGACUGAGUGGCAGAUGAGCAGAAUGGAUGGGGGAGGGGAGAGGGUCGGAGGAGACGCGGACCGGGAAACCAGGGAGGAGGCUCCUGCAGGUGUCUGGGCGAGUCAACAGCGGUUCCGAGGGUGAUCGUGGUGGAGGGUGGAGAGCGGGACAAGGGUUCUGGCCUCGUCGCGGGCGCAGGUUAGAGCCGCCUGGUGCAGGUGGUCUCGGGGGUCUGUGGACACAGGGCCUCCCUGCGUCUCUCUCCACCGAAGGGGCCAUGGGCAUGCCCACCUGUGUGUCCUACCUGCUUUGUCAAACUCUCCGGGCCGAGACGCACAGGAGGAGAUGCGUUUGACAUUAAGCCCAGACUACAUAACAGAAACCAAUAUUUUACCAAAAUACUUAUAUAUGCCUGCUGUAUUUUCUAUCUUGCUCUAUUAAAAAAAUUUUUUUUAAGUGUUUAUUUAUUUUUGAGAGAGAGAGACAGAGCACGAGCAGGGGAGGGACAGAGAGAGAGGGAGACACAGAAUCCGAAGCAGGCUCCAGGCUCCGAGCUGUCAGCACAGGGCCCGACUCGGGGCUCGAACUCAUGGACCGCGAGAUCAUGACCUGAGCCGAAGUCGGAUGCUCAACCGACUGAGCCCCCCAGGCGCCCCUGCUGUGUUUUUUAAACAUUUUUAAAGUUUAUUUAUUCAUUCUGAGAGAGAGCGAGAGAACGCCAGCAGGGGAGAGGUAGAGAGAGAGGGAGACAGAAUCCCAAGCAGGCUCCAAGCUGUCAGUACAAAGCCCAAUGUGGGACCCAAACUCAUGAACCAUGAGAUCAUGACCCGAGCCGAAAUCAAGAGUCGGAUGCUUAAACAACUGAGCCACCCAGGCCCCCCACCUAUUUUGUUUUUCUUUUUCAUGCAGGUUGCAGUGGUACAGUGGCCUGCGAUUGGGCACAGCGGUCACGAGAGUAUGGCCCUGGAUGAAGCCCGUUGUCCCUCCCCUGGCCCUCUUGCCUAGAGGGACACACACCAUAGGCUGGCCCGCUGACAGAAGGGCAGACCCUACAAGUUGGCUGGGGACCCUUGGGGCAGGGGAUCCCGGGGUCCCAGAAAACCAGAGUACAACCUGGAAGUGGGGACCGGGCUCCUUGCUCUAUAAGGGAGGGUGUGGUCGGACCAAAGUGGGGCCCCUGAAAGCGUGACACCAGCACAGGGCCCCACCUGAGCUGUGGGGGAAGCAGACAUCACCGCUGGGGUACCACCCUCAUACCUGCCUGCCUCCUCUGCAGGUGUCUGGCUUCUUUUAUGACUUGGACUAUGCAGACACUUUCUUGAAAGUUUCAAAUAGCUUGGUUCAUAACAUUCAGAAGUAAAAGUCCAGUUCUGGUAACAAAGAGGAAGGCCGGGUACCCGGGAGUGGUGAUCAGUCCUUUAUCAGAUGCCCAAACAGCUAAAACCCCUGAGCCCCCUAGGACGGCAAGUGGCCCCCACAGCAUCCAUCUAAGACCUGCCGCUGAAGGGACACCUGUGGCCUUUGAAGUUGUUGUUCCCGCGUCUUCUAGAAGACCAUCCAGAUACAAUUAGAAAUGCAAUUGCAGGGGUGCUUGAGUGGCUCAGUUGGUUAAGCAUCUGACCUUUGAUUUGGGCUUGGAUCAUGAUCUCAUAGUUCCUGGGUCCGAACCCCACGUCGGGCUUUGCACUGACAGGGAGGAGCCUGCUUGGGAUUCUCUCUCUUCCCGCUCUCUCUCUGCCCCUCACCCACUUGAGCAGGCAUAUCGUGUUAGGUUGCUGGACCGUUUGUAUCGUUUGGAUUGCUUGCUACUUCCUUUGCCCACUCGUUCUCCUGGAGUCUGAGGGUCACAUACGUAAAGCAUAUUAGAGUAUCAACACUCCCCGUGCUUCCAUAACAAUCACCAAAUAUUAGUUGGGCACCGCUUUAGACAAGCUGCUGUGUUGGAUGGAGGUCUGCCUGAAGAGGUGAGGAACACCCCACAAUCCCCGCCUUCACGGGGCAAGAAGGUAGAUGGUAGUGAGAGUUACCCAAACCCGUAAUUGCAAAAUGGGUCGAUUGGUGUUUGGGCAAGGACUGGCAUGCUGUGAGGGGAUCUGAUCUGGCCUAGGGCUCCGCAAGGUCCCUCUCAGGAAGUGACAUCGGAGUUGCAGUUCGAUGAAGGAGUAGGAAAUAACCACUUGCGGUGGGAGGGGGAGGGGCUGGAGAGAUAUUAGCAGGUGCAAGGCCCUGAGGCCCAAAGGAGCGGGCGGGCGGGCGUGUCCAGCGACGUGAAGGAAUGUGUUUUGAGCUGGAAUGUGAAGGAAGACCAGUGCAGGGGACUGGGGGGUGGGCACAGAGAUUAGAGAGUUCCAGAUCAAGGUGAGGCGGUCAGACAGUCGGCCAGCAACUGUUCAUUUUCCUUUCUAGACUCUUUGUCCACAGCUAUGGGUAAGAUGGCCAUCCAGGGCCUGGACUCCUAGUUUAUGGUCUUUAAGGUCUGCCAUUUUCUCGGAUGAAUUCACCGUUUAUCACCCUGGGACGGAGGUUUCCUUGGUUGGUUCUUUCAUCCAUUCAUUUAUUCCACAGAUAUGCACUGAGCACCUGUGAUGUGCAGGCAACAGGGACCUCUAAGACAGGACCAUGUCCCUCUCUGGCCUAGCACAGUGCCUGGUAAUCAGAAGAAGACCAGUGAGGAAGCAAGCAUCACUCCAGACCUACCAGAUGUGCAAAGAUGAAGAGGUCUGAUGGGGCCGAGUGUCUUCAAGGACAUGGAGAAUCAGGGGUGUGGAGACGCUGUGGUGGGAUCGUAAGUCAGGUCAUCCACUUUGGGGAGCAGAUGAAAAUACCAAGUAAAGUUAAAAAUGCCCGUUUCUUUCACCCUGAAAUCCUACUUACAGCAUAAAUCUGGAGAAACGUCUGCUCAGGGGAGUGUGAACACACAGAUGUUCAUUGCAUCAUUGUUUAUGACAGCAAAGAACCUGGACACCCAUUGACAGGUAAAAAGAUACACACAUUCAUGGAUGUGAGAACCAGAGACAACGCAGAGAGAAACGCCAGAGAUCGGGAAGGCUUCCACAUUCUGGCAGAUUGUCACGAAACGUGGCUCUUACUUCUGAGCACAGAGGUGUGUGUUGAGAUGAAAUCUAUAAAUCACGGACAACGUGGUCAGUCUCCAUGGAGACUUGUUCCACCCCCAGCCUCCCCCCACCCCCGGCAGGGGCACCUCCGUUUUACCCAGUGGCUCAAGUCCGAAAUCCAAGUGUCAUCUUGGAUUCUUGUCUGUCUCACACUCCACAACCAACCUGUCGAAAACCUCUGUCAUUUCUACUUCCAAAAUAUAUUCCCCUCCCUUCCCUUCUUCGGAAUAUGACACUUCUCUCCAUCUCUGUCCCACUGCCCACAUCCGGCCUCCCUCCUGGGCAGGUGACAGCCUCUGCUCCCUUGCUCUCCCCACCGUCGCCUGCUCCCUGCCCUGCAGCCAAGGCGAUCCUUAAAACAGCAAAUCGGAAGUCAUCAUUCCCCUGCUUAUACCCGUCAGUGGUUCCCCCUCCACCGAGAAUAUGCUAACUGCCCUCCCUUCACCAAUAAAACUAAAAAAUCUGGACCACUUCUGUUUCAUAUCCAUUUAAAAUGAUAAACCUUCUCCCCUACCCCAGCCCAGGCCUUCCUUGAUCUAUCUUUCCAUGUUAUUUAUCACAUUAUGCACUAUAUGAUGCUAUAUAAUAUUAGACUUUGUAUCUUUCUAUAUAUUAUAUUCUUUAGGUAGUUUAUUGUUGGCCUUCCCUUGCAAUAAAGUAUAAGCUUCAUAGGA